rnacentral:rRNA from 1 species
AUGGUGCAGCCCCGGGGUAGGCCGCGGAGGAAGAGGCAUGCAAGCCACACGGCGGCGGCCGUCGCCCCCAGUGCGUCGCCGGCGGGCAACUUGGAGGAGGAGGGGUUAUUAGGCGACGGGAAUGAGGCCACCCAGAAGCGCGUUAGGACGGCGCAGCCAUCUCAGCUUCCGCUUCCACUGCAGGACAUGUUCAAUAUAAUUAAUGAACCGCUCCCACUGGGUCUACGGCUGAAAAAGAGCCCAUCUUUUGUAGAUCUUAUUUGUACGUGUCUUUCAAAGAAAAACUCUACCAAGGAAAACUCUACCGAGGAAAUCUCUACCAAGGAAAUAUCUACCAAGGGCCGUUCUGCUAUGAAAGAUAUUGUUUCCAAGCCCCCGUUAAAGAAAGAUGUAGUAAAAGCUUCAAAUUUUCCUGCAAACUUUCUUAAGAUUGGUAAUUGGGAGUACACAUCGCAGUAUGAAGGUGAUUUGGUUGCAAAAUGCUACUAUGCAAAGCAUAAGCUUGUCUGGGAAGUUUUGAACAAUGGUCUUAAGAGUAAGAUAGAGGUCCAGUGGUUAGAUAUUACUGCUCUAAAGGCAACUUGCCCUGAGGAGGGAGAUGGCACCUUGGAACUGAUGUUGUCUCGGCCACCCAUGUUCUUUCAAGAGACCCAUCCUCAACCAAGAAAACAUACAUUAUGGCUGGCGGCACCAGAUUUCACUUGUGGGCAAGCAAUCAUGUGCAGGAGGCAUGUUUUGCGUUGCUCCUCGAGUGUGUUGAGCAGAAAUUUUGAAAAGCUUAUUCAGUGUGACGAGCGACUAAAUGAGCUGAGCCGACAACCAAUCAUCAUGUCAGAUUCUCCAUUUAUUGGAUCCAUAAGCUCUAUAUUUGGAAACCCAAAUGAAAGUGCCGGCCCUUCAUCCAUGUUCGCACAUCAUGUGUCACCAUAUGAUGCUUCUUCAGUGGUCCAAAGGGAUGGGGUGAAGCAUCAUCAGCCAUUGAACAUAGGUGCCACUGCUUCAGAUGUCCAAGCAAAAAUUGUUGUUCAAGAACAAAGGAACCUCAAUUUGUGCAAUCAUGCCAGCCCUGAGGUGCCGAAAGAAUUUCAGGAGAUUGCUGAGAGCCUCUUAAGCGAUACACAUGCCCUGCCAUCCGCGGAUGAGAAAUAUCUGCUGGCAAGAGUGGACUCGUUUAGCAAUCUUAUUGAGAAAGGCGCUGCGCCAUCCACCGUAUCUGUCCCUGAGCGCAAUGACACCAUUGCUGCAGGCGAAGUAGGUUAUGAUGCCUUUGCCGAGGAACUCGGAUUUUGUUUCGAAGACGAAGAACAAUGGGCGCCUGCGGGGAGAACUGUGGAUGGCGGCGCAGGACCGCCUGCUAUCUCUAGAAAGGAGUCCGUGCCGGGUCUGUUUGAGAACCUCUAUCGCCGCAUACCGUCUAUGUCAGAGUUGUUCGACAUAGCAGAGGAUUGA